UUUCCGUAGGUGAACCUGCGGAAGGAUCAUUACAGAAUGAAAAGUGCUUAACUGCAUUUUUUCUUACACAUGUGUUUUUCUUUUUUUGAAAACUUUGCUUUGGUAGGCCUUCUAUAUGGGGCCUGCCAGAGAUUAAACUCAACCAAAUUUUAUUUAAUGUCAACCGAUUAUUUAAUAGUCAAAACUUUCAACAACGGAUCUCUUGGUUCUCGCAUCGAUGAAGAACGCAGCGAAAUGCGAUAAGUAAUAUGAAUUGCAGAUAUUCGUGAAUCAUCGAAUCUUUGAACGCACAUUGCGCCCUUUGGUAUUCCAAAGGGCAUGCCUGUUUGAGCGUCAUUUCUCCCUCAAACCCUCGGGUUUGGUGUUGAGCGAUACGCUGGGUUUGCUUGAAAGAAAGGCGGAGUAUAAACUAAUGGAUAGGUUUUUUCCACUCAUUGGUACAAACUCCAAAACUUCUUCCAAAUUCGACCUCAAAUCAGGUAGGACUACCCGCUGAACUUAAGCAUAUCAAUAAGCGGAGGAAU
rnacentral:rRNA from 1 species